rnacentral:rRNA from 1 species
UACAGAGGGUGCGAGCGUUGUUCGGAAUUAUUGGGCGUAAAGGGUGCGUAGGUGGUGAGGUAAGUCGGAUGUGAAAUCUCCGAGCUCAACUCGGAAAUGGCAUUGGAAACUACCUUGCUUGAGGGUUGGAGGGGGGACUGGAAUACUUGGUGUAGCAGUGAAAUGCGUAGAUAUCAAGUGGAACACCAGUGGCGAAGGCGAGUCCCUGGACAACUCCUGACACUGAGGCACGAAAGCUAGGGGAGCAAACAGG